CUCUUUUUAAUUUCCCUACUGCCGCCACUGUAGUCCCACCCCCUUCUUCUUCCCCAUUUCUCCUCAUUGUGAUCUUCAUCCAAUCAUCCUCCAUAAUCCAAAAUUUGCACCCAUGAUAGAUCAUUUCUCUAUCACACACAUACACAUAAUCCAAAAUGUUUAAUUUUUUUCAAAAUCUUUUCUAUUUAACAACAUAAAGAGAUUAAAUUUGUAAUGCUGUGCGUUUUAAGAUUCAACACCACUUCUACUUUGGUACAAAUUUGUGCCAAAGAUGAAUAAAAAAUUUUAUUGUGCAACUUCAAGUAAGUAUUUUUUUUCUUUUACAUGUAUUCAUCUCUCAUUCUAUUAUUUCCUUCACUAAUUAAUACAUAAUUUAUAGUUAAAGUUUUAAUAUAUAUUUUUAUCAUGACAUAAAAAAGUAUGUACUUAAUUAUAACUUUUGUUUUUCACGGGUACAAGAACGUGGAAAUUUAUUCAAGAGUAUAUUUAUUAGACGGCUGAUUACAUUAGCAAAUUGAGGAAGCAACAUACGUCCAUCUCUUUUUAAUUUAUCAAUAUUCUUCCAUCUCUAUUAGACUUUCAUGUUGGAUAGAUUUUACUUAAUUUAUGUGUUUUAAUUUAUGAAGUUUGUAAUGAGAUAUUAUCUCAAUAUAGUAUUAAUUGUUUUUAAUUA